rnacentral:lncRNA from 1 species
CACCCAUAAACAGGAAGGGGGAUUUAAUGGCCCCGGGAGUUGGAGCCUUCCUGCCUCCUGGCCCUUUGAUCUCCUCCCACCUCGGCUUCGGGCCUGGAAGACUCGAGGUGCAGCCCCGGCGCGGGCGGCUAUUGUUCUGCAGCGCGCUUUCCCAGCCGCAGGAAUUAUUCCUCCCCUUCUCGCCCUUCUUCCAAAAGGGAAGCGGUCUCGCGCAAAGGGGGGGGGCGGCGGCGGGCGGGCGGAGAGGAGUCGUGGGCGCCUGCCUGGAAAAGAACAGGAGAAGCUUCAAAGCCGCUUUUCUUCCCCUCCUUCUGGUCACCCUUUCUCUCUCUCUCCUCUCCUCUGAGCAGCUUCCACAAAUCACGCCGGGCUCCAGCGCCUUCCCUUCCCUUCCCCACCCCCUCCUUUCUAGCAAGUUGCUUCACUUGGCGUUGUUUACCCCCAAAGCAGACGCCCUGCUCUGGCUCUCUCUCACACGCGCGCGCCCGCGCACACACACACACACAGAGGCCCCAGUUCAAAUCACAGAUGGCUGCAGAAAUGUCACGCUAUGCACAGCCUUCCGCAGAAGGGCAGCCUUGGCUGGAAGAACAUCAGGAGACACGCUUGGGAGAAAGGACGGCAGCAGUGACCACAGUGUGCUCACUUGUUCUCUCUCCGUUUCUCUCACUGAAAUUCACCAGCUGUAAAUGCUGUGGCCAUUUUAGUCUGGCUCCAAGGGGACUAUGGAAAUAAGAAUCAGUCUGCUUCAGCUGCAAGAAGAAUUGCUUAUGUUUUCUGGGCAUGGGGUGGAGGAAGAAUUGUGUUCCAUUCAUCAAGGGUUGUCCAUACUGACUAGUCUUGGCCCAAAAUGCUCUAUUUAUAGAAAUUCAUCCAGUCGACCCUGAGAGAGUUGUCUUCUCUAGUGUGGUCUAUCUCAAAUAACAUCUCAGACCUCAGACUUGGAAAGAGGGGCUAUGAAACAGCCCAUGUAGCCGAGUCUCUGCAUGCAACCCUUCAGAAACUGGUUGUUUACAGGGUGCAUGCAAUUGGGUAUUCAAAGCUCAUCCCAUAGGAACAAUGGCGUAGUAGAGCAAUGGCUUGAAGCCCUGGACCUUUCUGAGCCAUAGGGACCAGAGGAGCAUAUGUCACAUAAAUGCCAGGCUCCCCUAUUAGGUCUGAGCUUAACUGCGGUGCUCACAAUAGCUGGUAAUGAUAUGGAUUUGCCCAAGAACAAUGUGCUUUGGUAAGCUAUCCCUGCUGGAAUGCCAAAUAUUUGGAGGGGCUUGGUUUUGAAUUGGCAGUUAAGAGCCACUAACUUUAGAAAGUGGAUUCUCAGUGUAGUGUAGUGUAGUGAAUAAAAUGAUGGACUAGGAUUCUGAAGAACA